rnacentral:rRNA from 1 species
AUUGAACGCUGGCGGAAUGCUUUACACAUGCAAGUCGAACGGCAGCACGGACUUAGGUCUGGAGGCGAGUGGCGAAGGGGUGAGUAAUGUAUCGGAACGCGCCCAGUCGUGGGGGAUAACGGAGUGACAAUUACUCAAAUACCGCAUACGAUAUAUGGCUGAAAGCGGGGGAUAGCAAGACCUUGCGCGAUUGGAGCGGUCGAUAUCAGAUUAGGUAGGUGGGGGGGUAAAGGCCCACCAAGCCAACGAUCUGUAGCUGGUCUGAGAGGACGACCAGCCACACUGGACGUGAUACACGGUCCACACUCCUACGGGAGGCAGCAGUGGUGAAUUUUGGACAAUGGGCGAAAGCCUGAUCCAGCCAUUCCGCGUGCAGGAUGAAGGCCCUCGGGUUGUAAACUGCUUUUGUACAGAACGAAAAGGUUUCUACUAAUACUAGGAGCUCAUGACGGUACUGUAAGAAUAAGCACCAGCUAACUACGUGCCAGCAGCCGCCGCCG